rnacentral:rRNA from 1 species
GACGAACGCUGGCGGCGUGCUUAACACAUGCAAGUCGAACGGAAAGGCCCUGCUUUUGUGGGGUGCUCGAGUGGCGAACGGGUGAGUAACACGUGAGUAACCUGCCCUUGACUUUGGGAUAACUUCAGGAAACUGGGGCUAAUACCGGAUAGGAGCUCCUGCUGCAUGGUGGGGGUUGGAAAGUUUCGGCGGUUGGGGAUGGACUCGCGGCUUAUCAGCUUGUUGGGGUGGUAGUGGCUUACCAAGGCUUUGACGGGUAGCCGGCCUGAGAGGGUGAACGGCCACAAUGGGACUAAGAUACGGAGCAGACUGCUACGGGACGCAGCAGGGGGGAAUAUUGCACAAUGGGCGGAAGCCUGAUGCAGCAACGCCGCGUGCGGGAUGACGGCCUUCGGGUUGUAAACCGCUUUCGCAUGUGACGAAGAGUGAGUGACGGUAAUGGGUAAAGAAGCACCGGCUAACUACGUG